rnacentral:rRNA from 1 species
GAUGAACGCUGACAGAAUGCUUAACACAUGCGAGUCAACUUGAAUUUGGGUUUUUAACUUAGGUUUGGGUGGCGGACGGGUGAGUAACGCGUAAAGAACUUGCCUCACAGCUAGGGACAACAUUUGGAAACGAAUGCUAAUACCUAAUAUUAUGAUAAUAGGGCAUCCUAUAAUUAUGAAAGCUAUAAGCGCUGUGAGAGAGCUUUGCGUCCCAUUAGCUAGUUGGAGAGGUAACGGCUCACCAAGGCGAUGAUGGGUAGCCGGCCUGAGAGGGUGAUCGGCCACAAGGGGACUGAGACACGGCCCUUACUCCUACGGGAGGCAGCAGUGGGGAAUAUUGGACAAUGGACCGAGAGUCUGAUCCAGCAAUUCUGUGUGCACGAUGAAGUUUUUCGGAAUGUAAAGUGCUUUCAGUUGGGAAGAAACAAAUGACGGUACCAACAGAAGAAGUGACGGCUAAAUACGU